rnacentral:rRNA from 1 species
UACGUAGGCAGCGAGCGUUGUUCGGAGUUACUGGGCGUAAAGGGUGCGUAGGCGGUUGUUUUAAGUUUGGUGUGAAAUCUCCCGGCUCAACCGGGAGGGUGCGCCGAAUACUGAAUGACUAGAGUGCGGGAGAGGAAAGUGGAAUUCCUGGUGUAGCGGUGAAAUGCGCAGAUAUCAGGAGGAACACCGAUGGCGAAGGCAGCUCGCUGGGACGGUACUGACGCUGAGGCGCGAAAGCGUGGGGAGCAAACAGG